UCUAACACUAGAGUCAGUAUUCUCCAUCUAACACUAGAGUCAGUAUUCUCCUUCUAACACUAGAGUCAGUAUUCUCCUUCUAACACUAGAGUCAGUAUUCUCCAUCUAACACCAGAGUCAGUAUUCUCCAUCUAACACUAGAGUCAGUAUUCUCCAUCUAACACUAGAGUCAGUAUUCUCCUUCUAACACUAGAGUCAGUAUUCUCCAUCUAACACUAGAGUCAGUAUUCUCCAUCUAACACUAGAGUCAGUAUUCUCCAUCUAACACUAAUCUAACAGGUAGAGGUCAUAUCAGUGAAAGGCUCUAAUCUAACAGGUAGAGGUCAUAUCAGUGAAAGCCUCUAAUCCAACAGGUAGAGGUCAUAUCAGUGAAAGCCUCUAAUCUAACAGGUAGAGAUCAUAUCAGUGAAAGUCUCUAAUCUAACAGGUAGAGGUCAUAUCAGUGAAAGGCUCUAAUCUAACAGGUAGAGGUCAUAUCAGUGAAAGCCUCUAAUCCAACAGGUAGAGGUCAUAUCAGUGAAAGCCUCUAAUCUAACAGGUAGAGGUCAUAUCAGUGAAAGUCUCUAAUCUAACAGGUAGAGGUCAUAUCAGUGAAAGCCUCUAAUCUAACAGGUAGAGGUCAUAUCAGUGAAAGCCUCUAAUCUAACAGGUAGAGGUCAUAUCAGUGAAAGCCUCUAAUCCAACAGGUAGAGGUCAUCUCAGACAACUCUUUCUGCCCCCUGCUUUACGACCCUCCUCUCCUCCUCUCUCUCUUUCCUUCCCUCGCUCACUCCGCCCAGCCUUAUUCUCCAAUAGACUGUAAACGUCUUAAUAUUGUCUUAAAGUGAUAGGCUAGUAGAGGACGUUAGACCACACCCCUUUCCCCGCCACCCUCGCUCCUGUUGAGCCAAUCCCAAGUCACCUUGCUCCCUAAGGAAGACCUUGCCCCUCCCACUUUUCAACGGCGUUGGUGUGUAGAUGUUGUUAUUGCGAAAUUGUAAAGAAAAUAAUAAAUAAUGAAAAUGAUGAUUAUUAUGAAGAAGUAUGUUAAAAACAUUGGAAUGAGAGAGAAGAUGAUAUUAAAAGACUAGAAUUAUUAUGUGAGAACUGUACGGAAUGAUAAUAAUUGAACUUUGCAAUAAAGAAAAUGUUGAAUAUGAAA